rnacentral:rRNA from 1 species
UACGGGGGGGGCAAGCGUUGUUCGGAAUUACUGGGCGUAAAGGUGUGUAGGCGGUUCUUUAAGUUUGGUGUGAAAUCUCCCGGCUCAACCGGGAGGGUGCGCCGAAUACUGAGGGACUAGAGUGCGGGAGAGGAAAGUGGAUUCCUGGUGUAGCGGUGAAAUGCGUAGAUAUCAGGAGGAACACCGGUGGUGUAGACGGCUUUCUGGACCGUAACUGACGCUGAGAACACGAAAGCGUGGGUAGCAAACAGG